AUGGUAUCACAAAUACUUAGUUUCUCGAUCCAGAUCUCCUUAAGCUCCUUAAGCAUGGUGCUGUCUCUCCAGGGUGGCUUCCUGACUUCUGGAAGGAGCGAGAGGCCAGCCUGGAAGGAAAGGAAAGAGAAAGAUGGGAAUAACAUGCCUAGUGUACCUGGAAGUCAGAAGAAGUCAUUGGAUCCCUGGAUCUGGAGUCACAAGCACUUCUGAACCACCAUAUGGCUGCUGUGAAUUGAACCCAGGUUCUUGGUUAAGAACCUCAAGUGCUCUUAGCCCCUUGAGCAAUCUCUUCUGCCCAACCCAAUUCCAGUCUUACAGAGCAGGAAUUUGCAUGCUCUAAUAUCAGCUCCAUCCUCCUCUGUCAGGUGCCUCCAGCUGCGGCUGCCUCAAGUACUCAUAGAAAACACUUGAAUCAAUCCUCAUAGAGUACGUGACUCCGGACCACCCUGCUACCUCUGCUAAAUUCCACAAACUGGCCUGAAGCUUAAUUAUCAGUUAAAGAUUAGCUCAACAGAAGACCCCCAAGUCUGCCAGGAGAUAGGCUUGCACAAUAGGGAAAGAUUGAGAUAGAUAAAGUAAGGACCUAUGGUCAGGUUACCUAGCAACACAGGAGGUUCUACCCAUGUCCUUUUGCCCUGACAGCUUCCUUGAAGCUGCCCCUCCUUGCUUUCUCCUCCACGCCCUUUAAAUAUACCUUGGAAAGAAUAAAAUUCUGCCACGUUGAUCAGA